rnacentral:lncRNA from 1 species
GACUUUGUCUUCCUCUUCCCAGGAAGUGAGAGUUCUGGGCCAUAAAUUCCGAAAUCCAGUAGGAAUUGCUGCAGGAUUUGACAAGCAUGGGGAAGCCGUGGACGGACUUUAUAAGAUGGGCUUUGGUUUUGUUGAGAUAGGAAGUGUGACUCCAAAACCUCAGGAAGGAAACCCUAGACCCAGAGUCUUCCGCCUCCCUGAGGACCAAGCUGUCAUUAACAGGUGGGGAUCAAUAUCUUCAGAAUUGGCCAGGCAAAAUAUAUUUGCUUAACAUUCAGCUGCUACAGAUAACUGCAGGUGCUGGGAUGAUGGUACUUGGUGAAUCCUAUAGGUGAGCAGGGGUGUGAGAUCCUGCUCUGAGCCCUGUGUGUGCGGCCUCCUGGUUGUGUGGCAUGUGGUAUGGAUUUAACAGUCACGGGCUUUCAGUGGUGGAACACAGGUUACGGGCCAGACAGCAGAAGCAGGCCAAGCUCACAGAAGAUGGACUGCCUCUGGGGGUCAACUUGGGGAAGAACAAGACCUCAGUGGACGCCGCGGAGGACUACGCAG